rnacentral:lncRNA from 1 species
CUGCACCCCUCACCCCUGCUGCUCCCCCACGAGGAGUGGGAACCCCUCAUCCAUGCCCACACAGGGGCCCUGCUGCUCCCCCACAAGGAGUGGGAAACUUGCAGUUUUCCGGGAGGGACUGUGCACCAACUCCAGCUUAGGCCUCCAGGGGCUCAGCCCCAGCUCUCCAAAGCUUCCAUCGCCAUGGAGACAGCAGGAUCAGCAGAGCAGGGGGAGCCCAUGAGGGCAUGGCUGUGUCCAGCCUGGAGCGAGGACAGGAAACCGAGGCACAGAGGCAGAGUCAGCUAUGUCAUCUGCAGGGUCCAUAGAAAAUGAAAACGUGUGGGCACAUGGUGGAGCGUCUGUCAUCCCAACACCUCGGAAGGCCGAGGUGAGAGGAUCACGAGGUCGGGAGUUCAAGACCAGCCUGGGCAACAUAGUGAAACCCCGUCUCUACUAAAAAUACAAAAAAAUAGCCAGGCAUGGUGGAGUGUCUGUAAUCCCAGCUACUGGGGAGGCUGAGGUGGGAGAAUCGCUUGAGCCUGGGGGUCGGAGGUUGCAGUGAGCCAAGAUCAAGCCAUUGCACUCCAGCCUGAGUGACACAGUGAGAUCCUGUCUCAAACAAACAAAACAAAACAAAAAAG